rnacentral:rRNA from 1 species
GAUGAACGCUGGCGGCGUGCCUAAUACAUGCAAGUCGAGCGAACAGACGAGGAGCUUGCUCCUCUGACGGUAGCGGCGGACGGGUGAGUAACACGUGGAUAACCUACCUAUAAGACUGGGAUAACUUCGGGAAACCGGAGCUAAUACCGGAUAAUAUAUUGAACCGCAUGGUUCAAUAGUGAAAGACGGUUUUGCUGUCACUUAUAGAUGGAUCCGCGCCGCAUUAGCUAGUUGGUAAGGUAACGGCUUACCAAGGCGACGAUGCGUAGCCGACCUGAGAGGGUGAUCGGCCACACUGGAACUGAGACACGGUCCAGACUCCUACGGGAGGCAGCAGUAGGGAAUAUUCCGCAAUGGGCGAAAGCCUGACGGAGCAACGCCGCGUGAGUGAUGAAGGUCUUCGGAUCGUAAAACUCUGUUAUUAGGGAAGAAAAAAUGUGUAAGUAAAUAUGCACGUCUUGAUGGUACCUAAUCAGAAAGCCACGGCUAACUACGUG